CCUACGGGAGGCAGCAGUAGGGAAUCUUCCACAAUGGGCGAAAGCCUGAUGGAGCAACGCCGCGUGGGUGAAGAAGGUCUUCGGAUCGUAAAACCCUGUUGUUAGAGAAGAAAGUGCGUGCGAGUAACUGUUCACGUUUCGACGGUAUCUAACCAGAAAGCCACGGCUAACUACGUGCCAGCAGCCGCGGUAAUACGUAGGUGGCAAGCGUUAUCCGGAUUUAUUGGGCGUAAAGGGAACGCAGGCGGUCUUUUAAGUCUGAUGUGAAAGCCUUCGGCUUAACCGGAGUAGUGCAUUGGAAACUGGGAGACGUGAGUGCAGAAGAGGAGAGUGGAACUCGAUGUGUAGCGGUGAAAUGCGUAGAGAUAUGGAAGAACACCAGUGGCGAAAGCGGCUCUCUGGUCUGUAACUGACGCUGAGGUUCGAAAGCGUGGGGAGCAAACAGGAUUAGAUACCCCAGUAGUC
rnacentral:rRNA from 1 species